rnacentral:pre_miRNA from 1 species
GUAUUGGCCUAUGGACAUUAGUAUUGGCCUAUGGACAUUGGUAUUGGCCUAUGGACAUUGGUAUUGGCCCAUAGGCCUCAUAAUGGCUCAGGGGCCCUGUUAAUAUCCCAUGGGCCCUG